GACGAACGCUGGCGGCGUGCUUAACACAUGCAAGUCGAACGGAAAGGCCCUGCUUUCGUGGGGUGCUCGAGUGGCGAACGGGUGAGUAACACGUGAGUAACCUGCCCUUGACUUUGGGAUAACUUCAGGAAACUGGGGCUAAUACCGGAUAGGAGCUCCUGCUGCAUGGUGGGGGUUGGAAAGUUUCGGCGGUUGGGGAUGGACUCGCGGCUUAUCAGCUUGUUGGUGGGGUAGUGGCUUACCAAGGCUUUGACGGGUAGCCGGCCUGAGAGGGUGACCGGCCACAAUGGGACUGAGAUACGGCCCAGACUCCUACGGGAGGCAGCAGUGGGGAAUAUUGCACAAUGGGCGGAAGCCGGAUGCAGCGACGCCGCGUGCGGGAUGACGGCCUUCGGGUUGUAAACCGCUUUCGCCUGUGACGAAGCGUGAGUGACGGUAAUGGGUAAAGAAGCACCGGCUAACUACGUG
rnacentral:rRNA from 1 species